UACAGAGGGUGCAAGCGUUGUUCGGAAUCACUGGGCGUAAAGCGCGCGCAGGCGGAUGGUUGCGUCCGGAGUGAAAUUUCGCCGCUCAACGGCGAAGCUGCUUUGGAUACGGACCGUCUAGGGACCGGUAGAGGCUGGUAGAAUUGCAGGUGUAGCGGUGGAAUGCGUAGAUAUCUGGAGGAACACCGGUGGCGAAGGCGGCAUCCUGGACCGGCAUUGACGCUGAGGCGCGAAAGCUAGGGGAGCAAACGGG
rnacentral:rRNA from 1 species